rnacentral:rRNA from 1 species
CUACGGAGGGUGCAAGCGUUACUCGGAAUCACUGGGCGUAAAGCGCGCGCAGGCGGUCUUUUAAGUUGGAUGUGAAAGCCUACGGCUCAACCGUAGAACUGCAUCCAAAACUAUUAGACUAGAGUGUGGGAGAGGAAGAUGGAAUUAGUUGUGCAGGGGUAAAAUCCGUAGAGAUAACUAGGAAUACCAAAAGCGAAGGCAAUCUUCUGGAACACUACUGACGCUGAGGCGCGAAAGCGUGGGGAGCAAACAGGAUUAGAAACCCUUGUAGUCC